ACAGCCGUACGGUACGGGUUUAAAGUCGAAGAUCUGUUUGCGGCCGGUCGUACCACCGAAAAGGCCGUUCGGGAGAUCAAAAAAUGGCAACGCAGUACGCGUUACCCGAAGCUGUCUGUCGAACAGAUCGGCUUGUUCCUCGUGUCGUGCGGGAACGAUCGUGAUUACGCGAAGAGGACGAUCGAACAUUACUUCCAGAUCAGAUCGAACGCGCCCGAGAUCUUCUAUGGUCGCCACUUGAAAAACGAGAGCUUGGUGAGGAUUGCUGAGGUGAUAGGUCUUGCCGUAAUGCCAAAGAGCUAUAACGGUUCGGCGAUAAUGGUCAGCAGGUUAAUCGACCAAAACUACAGGAAUUACGAUUUUCAUCGCUACGCACAGCUGCAACAAUGAUUUUAGACUCGCUUUUGUUUUACGACCCUCCUAGCAGCGUCACUACGGUUUUUGAUGUUCAAGGCGUGAGUCGCCCGAGAGAUUUCGUUACGACUUCACCGUCUGUUUCAGUAUAGCUUCAUGCACCUAACUAAAAUUGGAUUGAAAGCGAUCAGAGUCUUCAGCGACUACGGCCAGAAGGGACAGCCGCUGCAAUCCGGCAACACGUAUCUUCUCAACCCGGGGUCAAUCGCGUAUGCAGCAAUGAACCUUUUUAGGCCGUUCAUAAAGUCAGAUAUAAUGGAAAAGAUUCACCUGCUCAAAACUUCUGACGGCGGUUUUGGUAGUCGAAUUUCUACCGAAAGAAUACCUUCCAGUGGAAUAUGGGGGCGAAUUGAAAUCAGUGCGUUUGUAUAACGAACAAACCUUAGUAAUGUUACGCGAUCUACAGCCGUUUUUUGAGGCAGUCGAGCAACAAGUUUACAGUCAAAGCAGUUGAGCAAAGAGGAUUCAGCAAAUGAUUCCAUAGAUCAUUCUGUCAAGUGAUGCCAUUUGGCUUCAAUAAUGCACCAUUACUAACUAAACCCUUUCUUACUGCCCCUUCCCUCCUUUAAAAGCACCUGAAUGUUUA